GACGAACCGUGCGAACGUUGUUCGGAUUCACUGGGCUUAAAGGGCGCGUAGGCGGGCAGUUCAAGUCAGGGGUGAAAGGCCCCCGGCCCAACCGGGGAAGUGCCUCUGAUACUGAAUGCCUCGAGCGGGGUAGGGGCAGCUGGAACUUUCGGUGGAGCGGUGAAAUGCGUAGAUAUCGGAAGGAACGCCGGUGGCGAAAGCGAGCUGCUGGACCCCUCCUGACGCUGAUGCGCGAAAGCCAGGGUAGCGAACGGGG
rnacentral:rRNA from 1 species